rnacentral:rRNA from 1 species
UACAGAGGUCCCAAGCGUUGUUCGGAUUUACUGGGCGUAAAGGGUGCGUAGGCGGUUGGGUAAGUCUGACGUGAAAUCUCCGGGCCUAACCCGGAAACUGCGUUGGAUACUACCUGACUAGAGGAAUGGAGGGGAGACUGGAAUUCCUGGUGUAGCGGUGAAAUGCGCAGAUAUCAGGAGGAACACCGAUGGCGAAGGCAGGUCUCUGGGCCACUACUGACGCUGAGAAGCGAAAGCAUGGGGAGCGAACAGG